GACAGAGGGUGCAAACGUUGUUCGGAAUUACUGGGCGUAAAGCGUGUGUAGGCGGCCACGUAAGUCGGAUGUGAAAGCCCCAGGCUCAACCUGGGAAGUGCACUCGAUACUGCGUGGCUUGAGUAUCGGAGAGGUUGGUGGAAUUCUCGGUGUAGAGGUGAAAUUCGUAGAUAUUCGGAAGAACACCGGUGGCGAAGGCGGCUCACUGGCCCGUAACUGACGCUCAUGCACGACAGCGUGGGGAUCAAACAGG
rnacentral:rRNA from 1 species